GUCAGGAUGGCCGAGCGGUCUAAGGCGCUGCGUUCAGGUCGCAGUCCACUUAGGUGGGCGUGGGUUCGAAUCCCACUUCUGACA
rfam:Dendroctonus ponderosae Seq01003842, whole genome shotgun sequence.